rnacentral:rRNA from 1 species
AUUGAACGCUGGCGGCAGGCCUAACACAUGCAAGUCGAACGAGUGGCGGACGGGUGAGUAAUGUCUGGGAAACUGCCUGAUGGAGGGGGAUAACUACUGGAAACGGUAGCUAAUACAGCAUACCAUAGGCUGUACCCAUAUGGGAUUAGCUAGUUGGUGGGGUAACGGCUAACCAAGGCGACGAUCCCUAGCUGGUCUGAGAGGAUGACCAGCCACACUGUGACUUAGACACGGCCCAGACUCCUGCGGGAGGAAGCAGUGGGGAAUAUUGCACAAUGGGCGCAAGCCUGAUGCAGCCAUGCCGCUUGUAUGAAGAAGGCCUUCGGGUUGUAAAGUACUUUCAGCGGGGAGGCGUUACCCGCAGAAGAAGCACCGGCUAACUCCGUGCCAGCAGCCGCGGUAAUUC